rnacentral:piRNA from 1 species
GGCCCUAGGUGAGAAAGGCAGGGUUCGC